AUUAAUAUAUAGGGGAGCUUGUGUAAUCAGGCUGAGAAGAUAUCUAAUACGAUGAAAACCCUUAUACCUGAUCUGGGUAAUGCCAGCGUAGGAAAAUGACUAAUGUAUAUUU
rnacentral:ncRNA from 2 species